rnacentral:misc_RNA from 1 species
UCUCCGUUGGUGAACCAGCGGAGGGAUCAUCACCGAGUUUACAACUCCCAAACCCAAUGUGAACCAUACCAAACUGUUGCCUCGGCGGGGUCACGCCCCGGGUGCGUCGCAGCCCCGGAACCAGGCGCCCGCCGGAGGGACCAACCAAACUCUUUCUGUAGUCCCCUCGCGGACGUUAUUUUUACAGCUCUGAGCAAAAAUUCAAAAUGAAUCAAAACUUUCAACAACGGAUCUCUUGGUUCUG